rnacentral:hammerhead_ribozyme from 1 species
UUACUGAUGAAGAGUCCCAAACUGAGUGGACGAAACAGCUGUUCAGUAC